CUCCCUCUAUUUCAUUUUGGUUGUUUGGUUUUAACUUAGCAUGGAGUUUAAGAAUGUAAAUGAACUUUUGAAUCUUGUGGUCUUAAACUAAAGAUAUGUGGAAUGUACCAAAAUGUCUUUUAAUCUUGUGGUAUUAAACAUGCCACGUGGAAAGUUAGCAUUAAACAGUUGUCAAAAACGGAAAAAGACUUUCUUUCUGAAACAGCCUAAAAAGGAAAGGAAGACAAACAAAUUGAGUAAUACUUAUCAGAAUUC
rnacentral:lncRNA from 1 species